rnacentral:rRNA from 1 species
AGUGAACGCUGGCGGUAGGCCUAACACAUGCAAGUCGAACGGCAGCACAGUAAGAGCCUGCUCUUACGGGUGGCGAGUGGCGGACGGGUGAGGGAUACAUCGGAAUCUACUUUUUCGUGGGGGAUAACGUAGGGAAACUUACGCUAAUACCGCAUACGACCUACGGGUGAAAGCAGGGGAUCUUCGGACCUUGCGCGAUUGAAUGAGCCGAUGUCGGAUUAGCUAGUUGGCGGGGUAAAGGCCCACCAAGGCGACGAUCCGUAGCUGGUCUGAGAGGAUGAUCAGCCACACUGGAACUGAGACACGGUCCAGACUCCUACGGGAGGCAGCAGUGGGGAAUAUUGGACAAUGGGCGCAAGCCUGAUCCAGCCAUACCGCGUGGGUGAAGAAGGCCUUCGGGUUGUAAAGCCCUUUUGUUGGGAAAGAAAAGCAGCAGGUUAAUACCCCGCUGUUCUGACGGUACCCAAAGAAUAAGCACCGGCUAACUUCGUGC